UACGUAGGGUGCAAGCGUUGUCCGGAAUUAUUGGGCGUAAAGAGCUCGUAGGCGGUCUGUCGCGUCUGCUGUGAAAACCUAGGGCUUAACUCUGGGCGUGCAGUGGGUACGGGCAGGCUAGAGUGCGGUAGGGGAGACUGGAAUUCCUGGGUGUAGCGGUGAAAUGCGCAGAUAUCAGGAGGAACACCGGUGGCGAAGGCGGGUCUCUGGGCCGUAACUGACGCUGAGGAGCGAAAGCAUGGGGAGCGAACAGG
rnacentral:rRNA from 1 species